UGCGGGGUGGAGCAGUGGUAGCUCGUUGGGCUCAUAACCCAAAGGUCGUUGGUUCGAAUCCGGCCCCCGCUA
rnacentral:tRNA from 1 species